AUGAAUCAUUUGAAUGGAAAUGACAAAUGGUGAAACAAACGGCCCCAUAGUACCUCUGCCUUGGAAAUAUAUUUAAUGCCGACAUUGUCCCUUAAUAUACAACAACCCCAACAACAAAACACAAACCACAAAACAGGGCUCCGGCGAUUCUCUCGUCUUCAGACGGCUGUCGUUUCGUCAGAGUCACUGAGAUCCGGCAUUUCAAAGUUAGUUUAGUAAAAGGUCUGCAAAAUGGUUGCUCAGGGAUUCUCUGUGGAUCUUAAUAAGGCCCUUGUAUUUCAGGGGUCUACGUCUACCACAUGUCAUACUGCUGAAUUUCUUGAAGCCAACAGCAGCCAAUAAGAGAUGAUUAUAUGAAUGAUUUGUUUAGAUUUUAUAUUUUAAGGGAUAAUUAUAUGAACUUCUAGAAAGUUAGGAAUUAGGAUUAAUCACUUAACUUGUGCCUCCUUUAUAAGCUUCUUAGAGUAAAAUUGUAUGGACAGUGACCGAAUGUAUGUGAGAAUGGGAGUUGUUAAAUUGUAUUGGCAGUAACCAUAGAGAAAUCUGUAUUCAUUUAAUUGUGUUUGUCAAUGUAUAUAAUUAAAUGCA